GGAUACGGCUACGGCGGCUAUCCUGAGGAUGUGUGAAGACGAACGGAGAGAUGAGAAGUGCAUAGAGAGAGGGAUCUGCUGAACCAGGGAGGAAGCGUGAGGACGAAGUGGAAGAAAUGCGUCAUCACCGCUGUAUCACGACUCUGAUGUGACGCUCUGUUCUGCUCUGCGCUGCGGACGUUAAAUGUUCCUCAACCUAAUGGAUCAUUCUGUGGAGCAAUCACCUGUGUCAAAAUGUGCUGCUGUUCCUGAAGAGGGCCCCAGAGGACUGGAUGUGAAUUACAGAGACCUGAUUGGUAACACCACUGCA
ensembl:lncRNA